UUGGGCGAGCUGAUGCAGCGACGCCGCGUGAGGGAUGACGGCCUUCGGGUUGUAAACCUCUUUCAGCAGGGAAGAAGCUUUUGUGACGGUACCUGCAGAAGAAGCACCGGCUAACUACGUGCCAGCAGCCGCGGUAAUACGUAGGGUGCGAGCGUUGUCCGGAAUUAUUGGGCGUAAAGAGCUUGUAGGCGGUUUGUCGCGUCUGCUGUGAAAAUUCAGGGCUUAACCCUGGACGUGCAGUGGGUACGGGCAGACUAGAGUGUGGUAGGGGAGACUGGAAUUCCUGGUGUAGCGGUGGAAUGCGCAGAUAUCAGGAGGAACACCGAUGGCGAAGGCAGGUCUCUGGGCCAUUACUGACGCUGAGAAGCGAAAGCAUGGGGAGCGAACAGGAUUAGAUACCCUGGUAGUCCAUGCCGUAAACGUUGGGUGCUAGGCGUGGGUCUCAUUCCACGAGAUCCGUGUCGCAGCUAACGCAUUAAGCGCCCCGCCUGGGGAGUACGGCCGCAAGGCUAAAACUCAAAGGAAUUGACGGGGGCCCGCACAAGCGGCGGAGCAUGCUGAUUAAUUCGAUGCAACGCGAAGAACCUUACCAAGGCUUGACAUGCACCGGAUCGCCUCAGAGAUGGGGUUUCCCUUUGGGCUGGUGCACAGGUGGUGCAUGGUUGUCGUCAGCUCGUGUCGUGAGAUGUUGGGUUAAGUCCCGCAACGAGCGCAACCCUCGUUCUAUGUUGCCAGCACGUGAUGGUGGGGACUCAUAGGAGACUGCCGGGGUCAACUCGGAGGAAGGUGGGGAUGACGUCAAAUCAUCAUGCCCCUUAUGUCUUGGGCUUCAAGCAUGCUACAAUGGCCGGUACAGAGGGUUGCGAAACCGUGAGGUGGAGCGAAUCCCAAAAAACCGGUCUCAGUUCGGAUUGGGGUCUGCAACUCGACCCCAUGAAGUCGGAGUCGCUAGUAAUCGCAGAUCAGCAACGCUGCGGUGAUACGUUCCCGGGCCUUGUACACACCGCCCGUCAAGUCACGAAAGUCGGUACACCCGAGACGUGGCCUACCUGUGAGAGCGUCUAGUGGGACGGUGAUUGGGACUAGUCG
rnacentral:rRNA from 1 species